rnacentral:misc_RNA from 3 species
AACGCACAUUGCGCCCCUUGGUAUUCCGAGGGGCAUGCCUGUUCGAGCGUCAUUUCACCAAUCAAGCCACGCUUGGUAUUGGGCGCGUGGCCUCUCGUCCGCGAGAGGCCCGCCCGAAAUGCAUCGGCGAGGAAACCGACCCCCGGCGUGUUAGAUUUCUGAACGUCAGGAGCACCGGUGCCCUCCGCCGUACAAUCUUUUUUUUCUAAGGUUGACCUCGGAUCAGGUAGGAAUACCCGCUGAACUUAA